rnacentral:rRNA from 1 species
UCGGAACGGGGUGAGUAACGCGUGAGAAUCUGCCCUUAGGACGGGGAUAACGACUGGAAAACGGUCGCUAAUACCCGAUGUGCCGAGAGGUGAAAUCUAAUUGGCCUGAGGAUGAGCUCGCGUCUGAUUAGCUAGUUGGUGGGGUAAGAGCCUACCAAGGCGACGAUCAGUAGCUGGUCUGAGAGGAUGAUCAGCCACACUGGGACUGAGACACGGCCCAGACUCCUACGGGAGGCAGCAGUGGGGAAUUUUCCGCAAUGGGCGAAAGCCUGACGGAGCAAGACCGCGUGGGGGAAGAAGGUCUGUGGAUUGUAAACCCCUUUUGACAGGGAAGAAAUUUUGACGGUACCUGUCGAAUCAGCCUCGGCUAACUCCGUGCCAGCAGCCGCGGUAAUACGGAGGAGGCAAGCGUUAUCCGGAAUUAUUGGGCGUAAAGCGUCCGUAGGUGGUGAUUCAAGUCUGCUGUUAAAGCAUGGAGCUUAACUCCAUAUCGGCAGUGGAAACUGAAUUGCUAGAGUGCGAUAGGGGCAAGGGGAAUUCCCAGUGUAGCGGUGAAAUGCGUAGAUAUUGGGAAGAACACCGGUGGCGAAAGCGCCUUGCUGGGUCUGCACUGACAC